AACACACACCAAAAGGAAACGGCGACACGUCAUAGGAGGCGCCUGAAAAAAAAAAAAAGGGAAAGACUGGGGGAACCGCGGUCGUCUUGCGAGUCUUGCGCGGUCGAACUCCCUCUCCCAGAAGGAAUGAAGAGGAUCUUGGAAAGCAGCAUCAGCUCCCACCAGCGAAGACGGGGCGAGAAAGCCAAGCGGGGCUUUCAUUGCUAUCUAUUUUUUCUUCGUCAAGCGCAACGCCGCCUGCUCGCAGGGGCGCAGGCGAGUUCCCGCCAAAUGGCGCGGAGGCUCAAGCAGGGGCGCGAGUUGCCGCCAAAUGCUAGCUCUGGAUGCCAGCUCGUUCCGCGUCUCUUGGUAGACUAGUUGGUGCAUUUCUGUUAUCAUGGACUGCGCAUAUAAACGCAAACUACACAAAAGUGACAUGGACAAGAACAGCGCAAGCCCUUUCCAUGCAGUGGAGCCGCCGUAUCUCGCCGUUCAAGAUAUGCGUACUCGAAGAAAAAAGAAAAAACAGGCUUUAUAUGAGAACGGAUCAAGCGUUCUAGAGUUGGGACAGGGAAAUGUGAGACGUACUUUCAUGUAUAUAUUUCUAAUAUUAUUCUUUCGUCUUGUAUUUUCCUUAAUUUUUCUCUAGGAAACACUAGAACGACACUGCUUAAAUUGAAGCACAGUGUGCGAAUGACCUGCUACGCUCGAAACUGUUGUCACCAUUCGGGAAGAAAUCAGAUGAAAAAACAAAACUGUAAAUGCCUGUACGAUAUACGUCUGGUGCAUUGCAGGUAAGAAUGGAUUGUGUGUGGCGCUUCACCGCAUGUGGACUAGAGUAGAUCUAGGAACAUCAGACAAGAAUGUAAGUUGUUAUGUUAUGUAAGUUGUUCCUCAAUUUUUCUGUUGUUCCAUUUUCGUAGUUUACGUGUAAUACUUUGUCACCGUGGUCUCGACGUUAUGUAUACCUAUACAUUUGUCUCGUGGCAGUCUGCGUGCAAUUUUGUUUGUGAGACUAUGUGUUGUAUUCGUUUAUCGCGCUGCCUGGAUGUUUUCUUUUUUUUUGCAAUGAUAUUCUGAGCCAAGCCAGUAAAUCCAUUCUUCCUGUCCUCAUGUUUCCUUGGGCGGCUCUAAAGCGUAUCUUAGAGGAAUAUUUAGCUUUAGAUUCCCGCAUGGAACAGAUGGUGAGUGACAUGCUGUGUUUUCUUUUUAGAGAAACUAUGUAUUCAUGUUUAAUUUUUGGUUGAUUUUCAUUUUGUCAUUCAUACAAUACCGCAGCCAUAUGCCGUUCUGUCAUAGAACGUUGUUUCUAGAUAUAUUUGUUUUAUGUGGUUAAAACAUUUAAAACGAGAGCGAUCAUAUUUCUUAUCCUGACCAUUAUUUUUUCCAGACCACGAUAACCACGUAUUUGGAUGUCUGGUUUAACUCUACAUGCGCUGGUUCGUGCAGGUGAACUUUUUUUCCAGAUACGGAGGAACGGACACCGGUCAUGCCGUGCGCACUCUUCUGCAGGGCAUACUUACAAAUGAAGCUGCACUGCAGUUCAGCUGGAAAGGGUCGCAGGGGAGGAAGCGCGCCUUCGUGAAGCUCACGGCCAUCACGAAUCUCAUUCUAACAUCUGUGAGGAGCACCUUCCCAGGUGCUUCACUGGCAUCAGUGGCUGGAGUCACCAAACGCUGGUUAGUCGGAGCAGCUGACAGGGAUGGAGGCCGGAACGAGAGAAGGCGCCGUGACCCUGCUUCAAGCCCACCAUGAACUCGCGUUUGAAACUUUUGUGAACGUGUGGGUGUAUAUAUACAAGACAAAUACAAGAAAUAAAGACCUGGA